GACGAACGCUGGCGGCGUGCUUAACACAUGCAAGUCGAACGGAAAGGCCCUGCUUUUGUGGGGUGCUCGAGUGGCGAACGGGUGAGUAACACGUGAGUAACCUGCCCUUGACUUUGGGAUAACUUCAGGAAACUGGGGCUAAUACCGGAUAGGAGCUCCUGCUGCAUGGUGGGGGUUGGAAAGUUUCGGCGGUUGGGGAUGGACUCGCGGCUUAUCAGCUUGUUGGUGGGGUAGUGGCUUACCAAGGCUUUGACGGGUAGCCGGCCUGAGAGGGUGACCGGCCACAUUGGGACUGAGAUACGGCCCAGACUCCUACGUGAGACAGCAGUGGGGAAUAUUGCACAAUGGGCGGAAGCCUGAUGCAGCAACGCCGCGUGCGGGAUGACGGCCUUCGGGUUGUAAACCGCUUUCGCCUGUGACGAAGCGUGAGUGACGGUAAUGGGUAAAGAAGCACCGGCUAACUACGUG
rnacentral:rRNA from 1 species